rnacentral:tRNA from 1 species
GGCCACCUUGGUCGGGGAGCCGGCGAGACCGAUGUUGCCUUCGUCGGGCUGAAGCUCGUCGAAGCCCCAGCAGGGGAUCUCGGCCUUCUUGGCGGCCA